rnacentral:lncRNA from 12 species
GGGGCUGGUGGCCACACCCCGUUGUGGGGUGCGGGGUUGUGGGCGGGAACUGGGGAAGGGGGGCUGAGAGCAAGCCCCCUCCCCAGGAAGCCUCCCGCGCAGCUGCACCCGCCCGCUCCGGGAAGGUGGGGGACUAGCUGGGGCCGAGGACCCGCCGCUGCGCCCCUGGCUCCCGCGGGGGUGGCAGGGUCUGCAUCCCGGGCCCCCAGGGUCCGGGCGGGAGGCCGCGGGGUGCCGGGAGCUCAGUGCGGGGCGCCUGAAGCCGCCAACCCGGAGGAGGGAAGGGGAGAGAGGCGGCGCGGGAGCCCGAGAGCCCGGGAGCCGAGGGGCCCAGCGGCCGCCGCGACGCUGCCGAGGGGCGCCCGGACCCGCCGCCCGCGCCUCCCCGCCCCGCCCGGGGCCUCCGGGGCCUGCGCUCCCCACCCCCGGGCCCCGGGCCCCACAGCCCCCCGCUCCCGCGAGCCCCUGCCCUCCUGCUGGCCCGGGCUGCUCCGAGCCCCUCCGACCGGCUCAGAAUCUGCCCAGGACCCUCCGCCAGUCCCCGCCCAGCUGAGGGCCAGCCCCUGCCCAGGCCCGGGUCAUCUGGGAAUCAGAGAGAGACGGGCGCACGGUCACUUCAAAACCAGGACACAGGUGAAGCCAGGAAGGCAGGAGACCCCCGUGACCAACUCCUCUC